GACGAACGCUGGCGGCAUGCCUAAUACAUGCAAGUUGAACGAUGAUAUUCUCUGCUUGCAGAGAAUUGAAGAGUAGCGAACGGGUGAGUAACACGUGGGGAACCUGCCCAUGAGAGGGGGAUAACAUUCGGAAACGGAUGCUAAUACCGCAUAAUGCUUUGGACCGCCUGGUCCAGAGACGAAAGACGGCUUUUGCUGUCACUCAUGGAUGGCCCCGCGCCGUAUUAGCUAGUUGGUGAGGUAAUGGCUCACCAAAGCUGUGAUACGUAGCCGACCUGAGAGGGUGAUCGGCCACACUGGGACUGAGACACGGCCCAGACUCCUACGGGAGGCAGCAGUAGGGAAUCUUCCGCAAUGGGCGAAAGCCUGAUGGAGCAAUGCCGCGUGAAUGAAGAAGGUCUUCGGAUCGUAAAGUUCUGUUAUUAGAGAAGAACAAGUCAAGGAGUAACUGUCUUGACUUUGACGGUACCUAACCAGAAAGUCACGGCUAACUACGUG
rnacentral:rRNA from 1 species